GCUCUCAAAUUCACAGGAAUUGAACAGGAAGAAAUUUUUCUUGGCAUUCUCUAAUAUUUUCUCACUUUCUGGCAGAUUUUUCCACCAGAAGAAUAGAAAGUGUGGGGAACAGAGGAAGUCACACGUGCAUUUUGAUUUCGCAGAUGCCUACUUAUACAUGACCUUGGAGAAAAAGCCUCUCGCACAGGAAAUACAGGGCUCUGCCUUGAUCAGGUUGAAAAUAUGCUGGCACAGCCAGCAUCAGCUCCAGCCAAGUCAUGGAUGUGCAGAGGGGCCCAGCAGUGCGGAAUUCAAAGCAACUUUAGCAACCUUAAAAAGCAGAACAAAACCAUCCUCGUUCGAAGUGUAUACAGCUGGUCUCUAAGAAGCUCUCCAAAGUAGAAGGGAACUGAAUUUCAACUUUAGAAAGUCAAAACAAAGGGGAGUUGAUGUAUAAAAAUGAUGCUAUCCCUGGAGCAAAGAGGGCUUCCCUUGGAGACAGGAUGGAUCACACGCCAGGGCCGAAAAGCUUCCCGUGGCUGCAAGGUAUUGUGCAGUUGCUAAGAUUGAAUACCAAGAGCCCCUCUACUUGGGAUCAUGAAUAAAACCCUGUGACAUCUUUGAUAAGACUGUUAC
rnacentral:lncRNA from 1 species